UACGUAGGGUGCAAGCGUUGUCCGGAAUUAUUGGGCGUAAAGAGCUCGUAGGCGGUCUGUCGCGUCGGCUGUGAAAACCCGGAGCUCAACUCCGGGCCUGCAGUCGAUACGGGCAAACUGGAGUGUUGCAGGGGAGACUGGAAUUCCUGGUGUAGCGGUGAAAUGCGCAGAUAUCAGGAGGAACACCGGUGGCGAAGGCGGGUCUCUGGGCCGAAACUGACGCUGAGGAGCGAAAGCGUGGGGAGCGAACAGG
rnacentral:rRNA from 1 species